rnacentral:rRNA from 2 species
AGAGUUUGAUCAUGGCUCAGAUUGAACGCUGGCGGCAGGCCUAACACAUGCAAGUCGAGCGGUAGCACAGAGAGCUUGCUCUCGGGUGACGAGCGGCGGACGGGUGAGUAAUGUCUGGGAAACUGCCUGAUGGAGGGGGAUAACUACUGGAAACGGUAGCUAAUACCGCAUAAUGUCGCAAGACCAAAGUGGGGGACCUUCGGGCCUCAUGCCAUCAGAUGUGCCCAGAUGGGAUUAGCUAGUAGGUGGGGUAACGGCUCACCUAGGCGACGAUCCCUAGCUGGUCUGAGAGGAUGACCAGCCACACUGGAACUGAGACACGGUCCAGACUCCUACGGGAGGCAGCAGUGGGGAAUAUUGCACAAUGGGCGCAAGCCUGAUGCAGCCAUGCCGCGUGUGUGAAGAAGGCCUUCGGGUUGUAAAGCACUUUCAGCGGGGAGGAAGGCGGUGAGGUUAAUAACCUCAUCGAUUGACGUUACCCGCAGAAGAAGCACCGGCUAACUCCGUGCCAGCAGCCGCGGUAAUACGGAGGGUGCAAGCGUUAAUCGGAAUUACUGGGCGUAAAGCGCACGCAGGCGGUCUGUCAAGUCGGAUGUGAAAUCCCCGGGCUCAACCUGGGAACUGCAUUCGAAACUGGCAGGCUAGAGUCUUGUAGAGGGGGGUAGAAUUCCAGGUGUAGCGGUGAAAUGCGUAGAGAUCUGGAGGAAUACCGGUGGCGAAGGCGGCCCCCUGGACAAAGACUGACGCUCAGGUGCGAAAGCGUGGGGAGCAAACAGGAUUAGAUACCCUGGUAGUCCACGCCGUAAACGAUGUCGAUUUGGAGGUUGUGCCCUUGAGGCGUGGCUUCCGGAGCUAACGCGUUAAAUCGACCGCCUGGGGAGUACGGCCGCAAGGUUAAAACUCAAAUGAAUUGACGGGGGCCCGCACAAGCGGUGGAGCAUGUGGUUUAAUUCGAUGCAACGCGAAGAACCUUACCUGGUCUUGACAUCCACAGAACUUAGCAGAGAUGCUUUGGUGCCUUCGGGAACUGUGAGACAGGUGCUGCAUGGCUGUCGUCAGCUCGUGUUGUGAAAUGUUGGGUUAAGUCCCGCAACGAGCGCAACCCUUAUCCUUUGUUGCCAGCGGUUCGGCCGGGAACUCAAAGGAGACUGCCAGUGAUAAACUGGAGGAAGGUGGGGAUGACGUCAAGUCAUCAUGGCCCUUACGACCAGGGCUACACACGUGCUACAAUGGCAUAUACAAAGAGAAGCGACCUCGCGAGAGCAAGCGGACCUCAUAAAGUAUGUCGUAGUCCGGAUUGGAGUCUGCAACUCGACUCCAUGAAGUCGGAAUCGCUAGUAAUCGUAGAUCAGAAUGCUACGGUGAAUACGUUCCCGGGCCUUGUACACACCGCCCGUCACACCAUGGGAGUGGGUUGCAAAAGAAGUAGGUAGCUUAACCUUCGGGAGGGCGCUUACCACUUUGUGAUUCAUGACUGGGGUGAAGUCGUAACAAGGUAACCGUAGGGGAACCUGCGGUUG